UCAUAAGAAAAAGAGGAGAGAUAGAGAGUGGAGUGGAGACGAUUCGUAAUCGUACGGAGUUAGAAGAGCCCUUAGAGAGGCUGCAUCACAUGUCGCCGCCAUCCAUGAUGAUGCUGGAGCUUCUCUCCGGCGAUAGGUUGAGAGAGAGAGAGAGAGAGGGGGAUCAUCAUCUCAUCGGAGAUUUGGUGGGGAGGAUUCGUUUUUUUCCCAGAAACGGUGUUGUGUUGUUGAGGAUCACUCUAGACCUGGAUUCAUUCUCAGCGAGGCUUCAAUUAUCAAUUUCACAGGUUGGUGUGCCGGUUUAUACAACAGGGACUGAUGUAAAAUCCCCUGCAGAUCUAGGUAAAGCAAGGCCUAAAAGAGUCUAAAAAAGGACUUAUGUAGUUAUCAUGGAUACAACAGGAAGGGCUUCAGGUAAUCUUUCGUCUAUUGCAGCUUUAAUAUAUUCAUGAAAAUUGACUCUUUGUGACAGAUAGAUAAAAGGCAUGAUGGACAAACUAAAAGACAGUGAGGAAGUUUCUGAAUCCAACAUAAGGUAACAAAGACUCUAACAAGGACCCAUUAUUCUUAAUGUCUGGCUGUAAAGUGGCAGAUGGAAAUGGUGUUAUGAUGGUAGGCUAUCUCACUACUUUUUGUUCCAGAGGGAGGCAUAAAGGUAAGGAUCGAUUUGGUUUAAUGCUUUAUCCGGAAAUUUAUUGAAAUAUACAAUUUGUGGUAAUUGUUGCUCUCGUCCUUUGAGGUCACUUUCACCGUUUUACAUUACAUGGAUCCAUGUAGACGAGGAGUCAAAGAUUCAGUUCAGCUGUGUAAAAAUGCUGGUGUCAAGGUACUUCUUUAGUUCGAUUAUAUAUUUUUGUAAGGCCAGAAAGGCCAAUGACUAAAAUUUAUUGUUCAACUUGUUAAUAACACUUCAUGAUAUAUGUUGAUGUUCAGGUCUGUAUGGUGAUUGGUUACAAUAUUUAAACUGCUAGGGCUAUUGCUUUCGAGUGUGGAAUAAUAACUUCAGAUGCAGAUGCCUCCGGGCCUACUCUGCAUCUGGAAUAUUAACUUCUUAACAAUUAUUUUUUAUUCCUUUCGGUGUAUUUCCAAUGAUACAUCUAUUCCUAUUGUUUUAUCCCAAUGACAUAUACUGUGAAUCUGUGAUGGUAGCUUCUUUUAUAUAAAAUAAUAAAUCCCUUCAUUAGAGGUCUAGUGAGGAUGCAAAGGAGACAUGCUCCAUUUAUAUUUAUUGGUAGAGGGAUAGAUUUUUAUUUGCAGUUUUCUCUGACACCUGUGGUGUUUUUUUUUUGUUUCUCGGACACCUGAUUUUUAUGGGAUUUUGUAGAGAAUGUUGUGCCAUGGAUGCCUCUGAGGGAAGCCUACGCUGGAUUGUAGUUAAUGAAGUUUCCAUGGGAAGCAUUUUCUUUGGAGUUGACACUUCAGUCAACUCCUUUUCAGUAUUGGAGGAUGGAUACCUUUGAUCUGCCAGUCGUACCUUAUUACCUUUUUUUUUUUUUUUUUUGUGGUUCUUACUUGCCUUAGCUUUUGUUUGGUUCAUUGUUUUACUUGAUGCAAGUCUUAACACUAUCGCGUAUUUGACAAAACUCUUGAGGGGUCAUGUCCUUUAGAAUUGCUAAGUAUCUUCUCUGAUACAAAAGGCUCGAGAUUGUUGCUGGUCCUAGUAAAUAGUAAUGGCAUAAGGUAGCUGUUUGUGAUUUCAGGGCUAGAACAUGUGCAGAUUUCAGGCCCUUUAUCUUGUCUUGUGGAUUGGUGUUGCUCAUAUUCCUCCUAAUGGGAGAGAGUUUUUCCCUAUUAGUUCUUGUAGAUGAAACCUGAGGAGUUAUUUGGUAUUUUUGCUGUCUGUGUUGCUGUAAUGUGGGCAGAGAUAGAAGCUAUUAAAGUUUAUGGAAGAAUAAAAGACUCAACAUCUGAUAGUUGGAUCUUAAAAGUUUGCAGCCAUUUGGACAGACGACUGAACGUUCCUGUGAGCUGGCUGAGGUUGACGAAGCUUUCGAAUUGGUUCUACUCUAAAUGAGUUUCCAAAAACCUUCCAUCAGAUGAACACCGAGGCAAUACUGGAUGAGUUUCAAGCUUUCUGAAUGGUGGUUUGAUUGCGAUGAUGUGUUCUCUGACAACAACAGGGUGGUUAAUAGAAGCAAAAGCUAAAGAGGGCUUUGACGGUGUUUGAGAUAGUCUGUGAGGCUCUUUUGGUUCUGUAUGAUAUCCUUGCAUUAUCGACCAACUAUGUAAAGGAUCAGGGAUGCUAUAGUUCAGUUAAUUGACGACACUAACUUUUUUGAAGAUGUUGUAAACUUUAAGUGUUGGCCUUAUAGACAUUACUUAGCUUGAAGAAGUUCUUGUAGAUGAAACCUGAGGAGUUAUUUGGUAUUUUUGCUGUCUGUGUUGCUGUAAUGUGGGCAGAGAUAGAAGCUAUUAAAGUUUAUGGAAGAAUAAAAGACUCAACAUCUGAUAGUUGGAUCUUAAAAGUUUGCAGCCAUUUGGACAGACGACUGAACGUUCCUGUGAGCUGGCUGAGGUUGACGAAGCUUUCGAAUUGGUUCUACUCUAAAUGAGUUUCCAAAAACCUUCCAUCAGAUGAACACCGAGGCAAUACUGGAUGAGUUUCAAGCUUUCUGAAUGGUGGUUUGAUUGCGAUGAUGUGUUCUCUGACAACAACAGGGUGGUUAAUAGAAGCAAAAGCUAAAGAGGGCUUUGACGGUGUUUGAGAUAGUCUGUGAGGCUCUUUUGGUUCUGUAUGAUAUCCUUGCAUUAUCGACCAACUAUGUAAAGGAUCAGGGAUGCUAUAGUUCAGUUAAUUGACGACACUAACUUUUUUGAAGAUGUUGUAAACUUUAAGUGUUGGCCUUAUAGACAUUACUUAGCUUGAAGAAGUUCUUGUAGAUGAAACCUGAGGAGUUAUUUGGUAUUUUUGCUGUCUGUGUUGCUGUAAUGUGGGCAGAGAUAGAAGCUAUUAAAGUUUAUGGAAGAAUAAAAGACUCAACAUCUGAUAGUUGGAUCUUAAAAGUUUGCAGCCAUUUGGACAGACGACUGAACGUUCCUGUGAGCUGGCUGAGGUUGACGAAGCUUUCGAAUUGGUUCUACUCUAAAUGAGUUUCCAAAAACCUUCCAUCAGAUGAACACCGAGGCAAUACUGGAUGAGUUUCAAGCUUUCUGAAUGGUGGUUUGAUUGCGAUGAUGUGUUCUCUGACAACAACAGGGUGGUUAAUAGAAGCAAAAGCUAAAGAGGGCUUUGACGGUGUUUGAGAUAGUCUGUGAGGCUCUUUUGGUUCUGUAUGAUAUCCUUGCAUUAUCGACCAACUAUGUAAAGGAUCAGGGAUGCUAUAGUUCAGUUAAUUGACGACACUAACUUUUUUGAAGAUGUUGUAAACUUUAAGUGUUGGCCUUAUAGACAUUACUUAGCUUGAA